rnacentral:lncRNA from 1 species
CGAUGCAAUCAGCAUGCUGAUUAAGGUUGCUUGGUUUUUUACUAAACAUUAACUGAAUGAAAACGGGUAGUCCUUGUUCUGCUUGGGGGGCUUUAAGGAAGCAAAUGGACUUUCAGAACAGAGAUUGUCAGGAAAGUGGCAUGACGUCCAGUAUGGGGUGGGGAGGAAGCAGCAAGAAGCAAUUGAAAGGACUGGAUGAAACUUCCUCAAGCUUCAAGGGCUUGUUUGCUGCCUAGGAAUACCCCCUCUUGAGCUCUGGAUGUGUAUAUUCUGAGGAGGUACCCACGACACUGACCAUACCAGAAGACGAUGCCGAUACGGGGCUGAGGGAAGGUUCCACAGCUGCUGGGUGCGCUGAAUUCCUUGAUGCCGAGCUGCUAAUCUUGCCUCUAGAGUUCAUGGAAGCUUGUGCUGCAUGAAGCAUUGAAAGAUGCCAUGUCAAGUCAAGGCAAGGUCUUUACUGCUGAAACUCUUGCAUAAUGACAUCUUUAUUCGUGUGAGAAUACAGGGUGAAUUUCAACUAUAUGAUUUUGUUGAUGUUCAUCAGAAAUGUUAUUUGUCUUUAAAAGUCUGAUUUCAAUGAGCUGGCUAUGUAAUGGGUAUUAAAUAAACAUGGAACUUUACACAUUCAUAAUAUUUGGUUUC